rnacentral:rRNA from 1 species
ACGAACGCUGGCGGCGUGCCUAAUACAUGCAAGUCGAACGAGAGCGACCGGUGCUUGCACUGGUCAAUCUAGUGGCGAACGGGUGAGUAACACGUGGGUAACCUGCCCAUCAGAGGGGGAUAACAUCCGGAAACGGAUGCUAAAACCGCAUAGGUCUUCGAGCCGCAUGGCUUGAAGAGGAAAAGAGGCGCAAGCUUCUGCUGAUGGAUGGGCCCGCGGUGCAUUAGCUAGUUGGUGAGGUAACGGCUCACCAAGGCCGUGAUGCAUAGCCGACCUGAGAGGGUGAUCGGCCACAUUGGGACUGAGACACGGCCCAAACUCCUACGGGAGGCAGCAGUAGGGAAUCUUCCGCAAUGGACGCAAGUCUGACGGAGCAACGCCGCGUGAGUGAAGAAGGUUUUCGGAUCGUAAAACUCUGUUGUUAGAGAAGAACAAGUGCUAGAGUAACUGUUAGCGCCUUGACGGUAUCUAACCAGAAAGCCACGGCUAACUACGUG